rnacentral:rRNA from 1 species
UACGUAGGGUGCAAGCGUUGUCCGGAAUUAUUGGGCGUAAAGAGCUCGUAGGCGGUCUGUCGCGUCGGCUGUGAAAACCCACAGCUCAACUGUGGGCUUGCAUUCGAUACGGGCAGGCUAGAGUUCGGUAGGGGAGACUGGAAUUCCUGGUGUAGCGGUGAAAUGCGCAGAUAUCAGGAGGAACACCGGUGGCGAAGGCGGGUCUCUGGGCCGAUACUGACGCUGAGGAGCGAAAGCGUGGGGAGCGAACAGG